GUAACUGAGAUUAUUGCAAAUCUAGGAUUUUAUGAGUUGUCACUAGUAUUCUGUCAAGUUUUCCAGUAUCCAAUGCAACUGUGCUUUAUAUAGAUAGUGAAUAACCAUUAUUCAAGCUCUAUAUACCGUUGCAACUAUCUUCUUCAUUGAAUUUAGCAAUACCUCGCAAGCCAAAACUUACUGAGUACGCUGAAGAAAAGAAGACAGAAGAAUACCCCUCCUCUCUACACCCUACACGUCACCGCCCUCGUAAAUGUUAUCGGCUGUUCCGGCUAUAUAUACACCCUUGUAUACCUCACCAGCUUCUCUCCAUCUAAGACUGUCUGAUUAGAGUGCUAAACUAAUCAUAAUUAUAGCUGUAAUAAUCAUUUUUAUCGUGUAAGUUUUUGUUAAUGUUGUUCGGUUUGAUCCCACUCGUUUUACACUUAGAAAGCAACUGGCAGUGCUGUGGAGUGUUUUGCUGUCUCCAAGUGUAUGUAAUUAUACUUAAUGAAUUGGAAAUUGAAA